GAUGAAGAACGCAGCGAAAUGCGAUAAGUAAUGCGAAUUGUAGAAUUCAGUGAGUCAUCGAAUCUUUGAACGCACAUUGCGCCCCUUGGUAUUCCGAGGGGCAUGCCUGUUCGAGCGUCAUUAUAACCCUCAAGCUCAGCUUGGUGUUGGGGCCUGCUGCACUGGCAGCCCUUAAAAUCAGUGGCGGCGCCAUCUGGCUCUAAGCGUAGUAAUUCUUCUCGCUAUGGAGUCCUGGUGGAUGCUUGCCAUCAACCCCCAAUUUUUCUAUGGUUGACCUCGGAUCAGGUAGGGAUACCCGCUGAACUUAAGCAUAUCAAUAAGCGGAGGA
rnacentral:misc_RNA from 1 species